AGUGAACGCUGGCGGUAGGCCUAACACAUGCAAGUCGAACGGCAGCACAGUAAGAGCUUGCUCUUACGGGUGGCGAGUGGCGGACGGGUGAGGAAUACAUCGGAAUCUACUUUUUCGUGGGGGAUAACGUAGGGAAACUUACGCUAAUGCCGCAUACGACCUACGGGUGAAAGCAGGGGAUCUUCGGACCUUGCGCGAUUGAAUGAGCCGAUGUCGGAUUAGCUAGUUGGCGGGGUAAAGGCCCACCAAGGCGACGAUCCGUAGCUGGUCUGAGAGGAUGAUCAGCCACACUGGAACUGAGACACGGUCCAGACUCCUACGGGAGGCAGCAGUGGGGAAUAUUGGACAAUGGGCGCAAGCCUGAUCCAGCCAUACCGCGUGGGUGAAGAAGGCCUUCGGGUUGUAAAGCCCUUUUGUUGGGAAAGAAAAGCAGCAGGUUAAUACCCCGCUGUUCUGACGGUACCGAAAGAAUAAGCACCGGCUAACUUCGUG
rnacentral:rRNA from 1 species